rnacentral:rRNA from 1 species
UACGUAGGGUCCAAGCGUUAAUCGGAAUUACUGGGCGUAAAGCGUGCGCAGGUGGCCCGUUAAGAGUGAUGUGAAAUCCCCGAGCUCAACUUGGGAAUUGCAUUGCUAACUGGCGGGCUAGAGUACGGGAGAGGGGGGUGGAAUUCCACGUGUAGCAGUGAAAUGCGUAGAGAUGUGGAGGAACACCGAUGGCGAAGGCAGCCCCCUGGCCUGCUACUGACACUCAUGCACGAAAGCGUGGGGAGCAAACAGG